rnacentral:rRNA from 1 species
CCCUAUGGGGCGCACCAGGCAUAGAGGGGCAGCAGCAGAAUAACAGAGAAACAACAGCCCAAAGCGAUGCAAAAAGAAAAGAUAUUAUUUCUCGAUUCCAUUAUUUGCUAACCUCUUUGAUAUGUUCUUUACGCUUUCUGUCAGGCCGUCAGCAGGAUGCAAUUCGGAGAGAGGAGCGACGGCUGACCAGGCCCAGUUUCAAAAAGUCAUCUCUAUGGGCGCAAUACUAUUUCCUGCCACAGAAUCUCCGCCUGCAUAUUCCGAAGGAGAAAGCGCAAAGGAGACAUAACAUACCAGCGAAUACGAAAUAAGAAUACUUGAGGCUGUACACGAUCGGCGUCAACCCGAGCCUGACGGCCGUCUUCAUCCAGUCAUGCUCUGCAAUGACGGCUGCGACAUGUGGUGAGAGCCGAUAAUAAUAAUCGAUCAGGGC